rnacentral:rRNA from 1 species
AGUCGAACGCAUUGUGGUUGAAUGAUAUGAAGAACUUGUUCAGAUUUGAUUUUCAACAUUGCAAUGAGUGGCGAACGGGUGAGUAACACGUGGGAAACCUACCUCUUAGCAGGGGAUAACAUUUGGAAACAAAUGCUAAUACCGUAUAAUAAUUAAAACCGCAUGGUUUUAGUUUAAAAGAUGGUCUUGCUAUCACUAAGAGAUGGUCCCGCGGUGUAUUAGUUAGUUGGUGAGGUAAUGGCUCACCAAGACAAUGAUACAUAGCCGAGUUGAGAGACUGACCGGCCACAAUGGGACUGAGACACGGCCCAUACUCCUACGGGAGGCAGCAGUAGGGAAUCUUCCACAAUGGACGAAAGUCUGAUGGAGCAACGCCGCGUGUGUGAUGAAGGGUUUCGGCUCGUAAAACACUGUUGUAAGAGAAGAAUGACAUUGAGAGUAACUGUUCAAUGUGUGACGGUAUCUUACCAGAAAGGAACGGCUAAAUACGUGCCAGCAGCCGCGGUAAUACGUAUGUUCCAAGCGUUAUCCGGAUUUAUUGGGCGUAAAGCGAGCGCAGACGGUUAUUUAAGUCUGAAGUGAAAGCCCUCGGCUCAACCGAGGAAUUGCUUUGGAAACUGGAUAACUUGAGUGCAGUAGAGGAAAGUGGAACUCCAUGUGUAGCGGUGAAAUGCGUAGAUAUAUGGAAGAACACCAGUGGCGAAGGCGGCUUUCUGGACUGUAACUGACGUUGAGGCUCGAAAGUGUGGGUAGCAAACAGGAUUAGAUACCCUGGUAGUCCACACUGUAAACGAUGAGUGCUAGUUGUUCGAGGGUUUCCGCCCUUGAGUGACGAAGCUAACGCAUUAAGCACUCCGCCUGGGGAGUACGACCGCAAGGUUGAAACUCAAAGGAAUUGACGGGGACCC